CAGACUCAGAAUUUCUAAGUGAAAUCUCCUCCACCUUUGGCUGAUACUGGAGCCUCAGAAUCCUCACUGCUCAGCCAUGACCUUAGCCUCUGUCCUAGUGACUUUGAUGCUCUUCUCAAUGAGAGGAACAAGAGCACAAACAGUGACCCAGCCUGAAGAUCAGGUCACCAUACCUGAAAAGGACCCCCUGGAGUUGAAAUGUACUGCCUCAUAUACUGGUAGCCCUGCUUUCUUCUGGUAUGUUCAAUAUCCCAAAGGAAGCCUCCAGCUGCUCCUGAAAUAUCUCUCAGGAAACAGCGUGGUCAGAGGUAGCAAAGGUUUUGAAGCAGAAUUUAACAAGAGCAAUAAAUCCUUCAACCUGAAGAAACUAUCCAUUGAAGUGAGUGAUGUGGCUGUAUACUUCUGUGCUGUGAGUGACACAGUGACUUGA